rnacentral:tRNA from 1 species
UGUCGCGAGCUGGAUUCGAACCAGCGCUUUCCAGAUGCAUGGUCCGGAUUUAAACCUUUUUUGUAUCGUGAC